rnacentral:lncRNA from 1 species
AAGGCAAGAACAAAAAGGGAAAAAAGCAUAGAACAAACCCUAGAGAAGAAAAUCAAGAGAAAAUUCAUUGAAUUUCAAGGAAUUAAGCAAGUAAAGGUAAAAUUUCUUAAUUCUAGCUUGUGAUCUACCUUUCCUAUGCAUUCUUUUUCAAUUACCAUGGUUAAAAUUCAAGAUCUCAUGAAGGAUUCAUGGCUGACCGAAUUUAGGGAGAGAAGAUUUGAUGAUUUAUUUGGUUAGAUUUCAAGGUAUCUUAGUGUUUUUAGUUGUUUGGUGAUGUUUAGCAUGAAAAACAAGCAAGAAAUUUCAUGCCCUUCACCCACACUCCUUGGCUGAAAUUUUCAAGAGAGAAAUUGGAUAAUGGACUUUGAUGAAUUUCAUGCUAUUUAGGUGUUUUUAGUUGUUUUAAGAUGUAAGGUGUAAAAAUCAAGCAUGAAAAUUACAUGUUCUACACUAAACCUUCAAUGGCCGAAUUUUACAAGGAAGAUAUUGAUGAUGGAUUUUUGUGAUAUUACAUAUUAUUUAACUUGUAAUUGAUGACUUGGAGUGUUGGAAGUGGAAUCAAGUUAAUUGGAGUUGAAUUGGAUGUAUUGGCCAAUUAACCGGUGUAUAGAUCGAAUUCUGCCAAUACCAUUUUAUUUCGAUACAUAAUUGAAGCUACGUAGAACACCAUAUUUAGAUAAUAAUCCGAACAUUUCGCAUCCCAUUUCAUGCAUUCAUAUAGAGCCUAAAUUAGUUUUAUAACGGUUUAGUACAAAUAUAGUAAAUUGCUUGUUGUGCAUUAUGUUUAGGUGGUGAAACUUCCGAUAAGGGUAAGGAGAUUGUACCCGAAGACCGGGACUAGGAGUACUUCAACUCCCGAUAUUGUGAGUAACCUUAUUAUCGUCUUAAUUAUCUAAAGUAGUUUUUAUUCGUUUUUGUGAUUUUAUAGAAAAAUGAGUUUAAAUGGUAAAUCCUUAUGUUUUAUAAGUAAAAUGUGAUUAAAUGAAAUGAGUUUUAUAAAUCAUUUUGAAAUUGAAUGAUGAUUUUAGAAAUUGAGUAAUUGGAGACUGUUUGAUUGUGUUGUAAAUUUAUGGUUUGAAUUGAAUGGCUUAUGGUGAUAUUGGCAUGAAUGGCUGAAUUGGAAAUUGUGUUGAAAUUGUAUGAACUAUUUGUUUUGCCUUAACAAGCUGGGUAGUAAUAUAAUUGCCAUGUCAUGCUGUCGAAACUUUUAUUGAUUUGGUGGGAUAUUGAUUAGUCACUGCAGUGGUGGGUUUCUGUGGACCAACCAAUUAGAGAGGAGCACGGUAAACCCAGUUAUAUUUUACCUUGGUACGAGAGGCGCGGAGGGUAUCUCCUAAGGUAAAGCUUUAGAGUUCACUACACGCUAAACCACCACGUGAGGGUGAACUCAGCCAACGCCAAGGAACGACUAUGUUUUCAAACGUAAAAAUGUGUUUUAUGCAUAUAUGAACUUUUCUUUAACAGCCUUGGCGGACUCGGUUGGAUGCCCCGGCCAAGGUAUCCCCGAGAAUGAGUUUUGGCACGAGCCAAAUUUUUAAGAAAUUCAUAAGCCAUGUUGAUUAUUUGAGUGAAAUGAAAUUAUUUUAUUUAGUUGAAAUGAGUUUGAAACGUUAUGAAUCAUAGUACGAUGAACUAUUUUAAGUUGUCUCCAUUUACUCGACUUUAGAUAUUUUAGAUGAUGUUUGUUUACUCACUGAGUUUAUAUAAACUCACCACCCUCCUUUCCACUCAUUCCAGGAUCAGGACAGUCCGUAAAUAGCUGAUUACGUCGAGGGUUAUUAUUGGACUCACCUCCUCAAAAAUUGUAUGUCCACAGCCUUUGUUACCUUUGGUCAUUCAGGGGCCCACACAUCAUUGUAAAUUAAAUUACAUACUCUGGUUAUCUGUGUUACUGUAUGUAUGGAUUUAUUUUGCUUUUACACUACAAAAUUUAUUUAUGCAGAGUUAUAUAAAUAUUGUUUUAUAAGAAAAUAGAAUAUUUCAUUUAAUAUUUUUAUUUUAUUCUAUUAGCUACAAUUACACCCUAAAUGAAUGUUUUAGACAUAAAAACUUGUUUUUAGUUAUGAAAUGUGUAUUUUCCCCUAUAUAUUAUAUUUUUAGUAGGUUUCAAAAUUUUUUAAAAAAAUAACCAAAAUGCCCUUGUGAGAUAAAAAAUAUUUUUUUAUUAUUGUUUUAUUUGAAAAUAGCUUAUAAUCUUUUAAAAUAUGAUAUUUAGUAAUUAUUGCUCAUAGGGGAGGUGCGAAAACUGAUAUUAAGCCUUACGAGGUUUCGGUUGGCAAUUCGGGUAAUGAACAUCUAUCGGGACAUCGCGGAGGUUGUCACGGGCUCGAGAAGAGUACCGGGUUGUGACAUUAACAAAAACAAGUACAUGAAUUUGCAUUAAAAUGUUAUGGGUAAAUGUAUAUAUGUUUGAAUGAAUCACUUGAAAUAUUUUAAUUGAUUUUUCUUCAAAAUGCACACGGGAACAAGCCCUUGAUAAAACAUUUUUUUUUUUGUGUUGUGUUGUGAAAUGUGACUGUGAUGAAUCCAUGUACUCCUUUUAUUAUGUUGAUAUAAGCAUAUAUGUGUUGUGCAUUUAGAGGUUAUAUUGUGUAAUAAAUAUAGUCGUGCAUGUGCACGAUGUGGGGGAGCACAUGCUUAUGAUGACGGGUGCGGGAUUGUGGAUGAUGAUAUUGCUUGUGGGCGAUGUGGGGGAUACACACGAUGGUAUUAGCUGUGGACGAUAUGGGGGAUGCACAUGAUGACUCCAGCUAUGUGCGGUGUGGGAGUGCAUAUGAGCUAGGUGAGGCGGUGGUGGUGUAUAUGCUUAUAUAUAUAUUUAUUAUAUAGAGAGGUUUGGAAUUAAUAUGUGAUUGCAUUGACUGUUGAAACUUGAUUAUUGUCAAAUGUGUUUAAGCUAAUUUUCUUUGCAACAGAAUUGAAUUUAUAUAGCAAUGAAAAUUUCCCCUAACUUCAUCUAGCCAGAUUCUCACUGCAACGAAAAUGAAUCUCGCUGCAGCGAGAAAGUCUCGGGUUGGGGGAGGGUAUGCACUGGCUCUAUUUUCACUACAGUGAGAAUGCAUUCUCGCUACAGCGAAAAACUCUCAAGUGGUUCAAAAUUUUGGUCUGAUCGUUACGGCAAGAAUGCCUUUCCACUGCAGUGAGAAACCUUCUUUUUUGCUUGUUUUGCAUGGACAUUUACUGGAAUUUUCAUUCUUUUCAACUUCAUGGUUUAUCAUGGAUUUUAAAUGCUAAGGAAUUAAAUAAUCAAGGGAUGAAUUAAGAGGCUUUACAAGAAAGUAAACUAAAUUGCAUUGUUUGCAACUAAAGUGCAUCAUGUUUUCAAAACCUCUUUGUAUCGUUGCUUGUUCCCUUCUUAUGUUCACUCACUGAGUUUAUACUCACUGUUUUCAACUUCAUGUUUUUAGAUCAGGAGGCAGUUGGAACCUAGGUCGAGGUGUCCAUGUGGAUUAGUCUUCUUGGUAGGUAUCUCAGCAUUCAAUAGUUGUAUCUUCGCCAAGGUCACUCCGCUGGAAGUCGAGUGUCUUUUUGUUGUGUAUAGAUAAACGCGAUGUAAAUUACUAAGAUAUAUGUCUUAGACAAUAUAUGUAUAUUCUGAUUGGUAAUGCCACUAUGAGUUGGCAAUGAUUAACAUUACUUUUGGUUAAUGUAAAUGCAAG